UACGUAGGGGGCGAGCGUUGUCCGGAAUCAUUGGGCGUAAAGAGCGUGUAGGUGGCUUGGAAAGUCUUACGUGAAAGCCUGCGGCUCAACCGCAGAAGUGCGUAGGAAACUUCCUCGCUAGAGUCCGGAAGAGGAGAGCGGAAUUCCUGGUGUAGCGGUGGAAUGCGCAGAUAUCAGGAGGAACACCAAUAGCGAAGGCAGCUCGCUGGGACGGUACUGACGCUAAGGCGCGAAAGCGUGGGGAGCGAACAGG
rnacentral:rRNA from 1 species